GAGUUUGAUCAUGGCUCAGAUUGAACGCUGGCGGCAGGCCUAACACAUGCAAGUCGAGCGGAUGACGGGAGCUUGCUCCUUGAUUCAGCGGCGGACGGGUGAGUAAUGCCUAGGAAUCUGCCUGGUAGUGGGGGACAACGUUUCGAAAGGAACGCUAAUACCGCAUACGUCCUACGGGAGAAAGCAGGGGACCUUCGGGCCUUGCGCUAUCAGAUGAGCCUAGGUCGGAUUAGCUAGUUGGUGGGGUAAUGGCUCACCAAGGCGACGAUCCGUAACUGGUCUGAGAGGAUGAUCAGUCACACUGGAACUGAGACACGGUCCAGACUCCUACGGGAGGCAGCAGUGGGGAAUAUUGGACAAUGGGCGAAAGCCUGAUCCAGCCAUGCCGCGUGUGUGAAGAAGGUCUUCGGAUUGUAAAGCACUUUAAGUUGGGAGAAGGGCAGUAAGUUAAUACCUUGCUGUUUUGACGUUACCGACAGAAUAAGCACCGGCUAACUCUGUGCCAGCCGCCG
rnacentral:rRNA from 2 species